UAAUUGGUCGCUAAAUUAGGGAAAGCGCGUGUCUUCAAUCCACAGAUCCGAGGGUUCGAAUCCCCACCAAUUCA
rnacentral:tRNA from 1 species